GACCUGCACGAAGGCCGCCAGCGCGAAGAAGGCGGCCAUGAGUCCGUUGCAGGCCCGCCACAGGGCAGGCGCCAUGGCUCGGAGAACGCGGCGCGGGGCGGCCCCUAAGGUAAAAGCCAUGCUCCAAGUCCCCUUCUGACUUCUAGUCACUUCCGUGCUGCCAGCAGAGAGCAUGGGAUUCUUCCUGAGGAGCCUGAGUCUCAGCUUUGCCAGGUCCUUGCUGUGUGACCUUGGGCACCUGUGCUCCCUUAACAAAGAGGAAUAAAACCUCUUCAGACUACUCUCCUAUCGAUUCUCUCCUGGAACAUAUGACCACCAUCAAUUAUAGGCAAGAACAUGAACACGGGAGUCCCAAAGACUUGGGUUCAAAUGUCAGCCCCUUCACUCACUGGCUGUAGGUGUGAGGCCCUGGGUAAGGUCCUUACCUCCCCAAGUGUCUGAGCCUGUUCCCGUAUAAUGUUCACUUGCCUUGAAUAUCAUGAAAUGUACAUUAGACUUUGUAAGUAAACACCUAGCUGAGUAUCUGGAGCAUAGUAAGUGCUUAUCACACGUUCCAUGGAGU
rnacentral:antisense_RNA from 1 species